rnacentral:rRNA from 1 species
GCUCAAUGAUAUUAAAUAGCCGCAACUUAGUGCUAAGGUAGCAUAAUCAUUAGUUCCCUAAUUAGGAAAUAGUAUGAAAGGCCAAACGAGGAGUAUACUGUCUCAUAAAGAUUAAAUAAAAUUAAUUUAACAGUAAUAAAGCUGUUAUAAAUAAACAAGACGACAAGACCCUGAAUUCGAACUAAAAUGUCAGCUGGGGAGGCUAGAAAAUAAAACCUUAAUUAAACACAAAUAAACUCACUAAUAAAAAUAUAUCAAGUUACCGCAGGGAUAACAGCGCUACCUCUUUCUAAAGCCCAAAUAAAAAAAGAGAUCUACGACCUCGAUGUUGAAUUAAUUACCCUUCUUAGCGUAAAAACUAAAAAAGGAGGUCUGUUCGACCAAUAAACAAUU